rnacentral:rRNA from 1 species
GACGAACCGUGCGAACGUUGUUCGGAAUCACUGGGCUUAAAGGGAGCGUAGGCGGGCUAUCAAGUCUGGGGUGAAAUCCCGCGGCUCAACCGUGGAACUGCCUUAGAUACUGACGGCCUCGAGGGAGAUAGGGGCAUGCGGAACUGUAGGUGGAGCGGUGAAAUGCGUUGAUAUCUACAGGAACUCCGGUGGCGAAAGCGGCGUGCUGGAUCUCUUCUGACGCUGAGGCUCGAAAGCUAGGGGAGCAAACGGG